AUGACAGGCGGAAUUGUGACCGUGGCAGGCGGGGUGAUGGACCCCCUCAUCGGCAAGCUCAAAACACUCAUGGGCGAUGAGUACAACAAGUUCAUAGGUGUCAGGAAGCAAGUCUCAUUCCUUGAGAACGAGCUCAGCGCCAUGAAUGCCGCCCUUCACAAGCUGGAGCUCAUGGAUGAGCUCGAUCCGACCGUCAAGGACUGGGUGGAUCAUGUUAGGGAUAUGUCCUAUGACAUGGAGAAUUGUAUCGACGACUUCAUACACGAGUUUAGCGCCGAUGAUGUCAAGGCAGGCCUCAUAGAGAAGACUAUUCAGUUCGUCAAGAAGUUUCGACAACGUCUUCGGAUAGCUGACCGGAUGGAAGAACUCAAGACUCUUGCCUUGGAGGCAAAUGCUCGGCGCGAGAGGUAUAAGAUUGAUGAUUGCAGGCCUGCCUCUAGCUCUGUGGCUGUUGACCCUCGGCUGCGAGCGGUAUACCAGGAGGCGGAAACUCUUGUGGGUAUUGAUGGCCCAAGGAAGGAGGUUGUCACUCGGUUGAUGGAUACACAAAAGAAACUCAAGGUGGUGUCCAUUGUGGGAUUCGGUGGUCUUGGUAAAACAACACUUGCCAAACAGGUGUAUGACAAGAUCAGCUCGCAAUUCACAUGCAAGGCAUUUUUUUCUGUUUCACAGAGGCCUGAUAUGAUUGAGCUACUCAACAAUUUACAAUAUAAACUUGGGAUGAAGGAGUCCAAUUCAUCCCGCCCUCGCAAGGUUGACGACAUCAUUGAAGAGCUAAGGGAACAUCUGAAAAAGAGGAGGUACCUUAUUGUUGUGGACGAUCUGUGGGAUGAAUCGACAUGGAAUAUUAUUAAGUGUGCUUUUCCAGAAGAUGGUAACGGAAGCAGAGUAAUAGCUACAACACGAGUGGAAGGUGUGGCCGGAGCAGCCUGUCAGAAUGACCGUGAGGGUAUCUACAAAUUGGAACCUCUCAGUGAAGAAAACUCAAGAAUGUUAUUGUUGAAUAGAGUAUUUGGGUUCGUACAUGGUUGUCCCCCCCAACUUGAAGAUGUCAUGGCUGAAAUUUUGAAAAAGUGUCAUGGAUUGCCACUUGCAGUUAUCACAAUAGCUAGCCUAUUAGCAAGUGAAGAAAGAUCAUUGAAGGGCUGGGAGAGUAUAAGGGAUUAUUUGGGUGCCCAGUCUGCCACAAAUCCCACCUUGGAAGAGAUGAAGAGUAUAUUAAACCUUAGCUACAUGCAUCUUCCUGCUCAUUUUCGAGCAUGUUUUUUGUACCUUGGUAUGUAUGCAGAGGACUGUGAGAUCCUAAGAGAUGAUCUGAUUCGACAAUGGAUAGCUGAAGGCUUUAUCAUUAGUUUGCAUGUGCAAGAUCUGGAGGAUGUUGGCAGGAGUUAUUUCAAUGAGCUUGUCAAUAGAAGCAUGAUCCAACCUUAUAAAAAUGUGGAUGGGAAGGUGUGUUGCAAAGUACACGACAUGAUGCUUGAUUUGAUCCUAAGCAAGUGUGCUGAAGAUAACUUUAUAAGUGUGGCAUACAAUUAUGAAGGCAUGGCAAGAUUGCAUAGCAGGAAACACAAGGUUCACAGACUAUGUAUGACAUCCAUUGUUGGUGGUGGAGCAACAUAUGGCCCAACUAUUGUUGUUAGCUUAUCACAAGUUCGGUCAUUUACAAUGUUGGGGAACUCCAUGCCUCCUCUGGUGUUGUUUAAGUAUCUCCGGGUGCUCAAGAUUGAUCAAGGCAGGCCCAGGGGAGACGAGGAGACACGUGACCUCACCGCUAUUAGGCAAUUGUUUCAGCUAAGGUAUUUGCAGAUUUUGGGGCCAUAUCCUAUAAAGCUCCCUUCUGAACUUCAAGGGCUUGUUUACUUGGAGACGCUGGACAUACCUGAUGCAUGCCCCAGGACCAUCCCCUCAGAUAUUGUCCAUUUGUCCCGCUUGUCCUAUCUCAAUGUAUGGAUGGAAGAAGGGCUGCCUGAAUUGAUUGGAAAUAUGAAAGUAUUGCGCAGUUUGAGAAUAUCGAAUAGCUGGGUGAUCCAUCAUAGCAUGAAGGGUAUUAUGGGUCUUGGUGAGCUGACCAAUCUUCGGGAACUGAUGAUCGAGGUGGGGUUGGAGAAGCCAGAACUUGAUGCUUUGGUCUGGUCCAUUGGAAGGCUCUGUAACCUCAAACACCUUCAAAUCUUAGGGUUAUGUUCCAAAGGCGAUAACCAGCUGGGUUCAUUAUCCAAUCCUUUCCAACAUCUCGAGGAAUUGCACGUAUCUUCAUUAAAUUUCUGUAGAGUUCCCACAUGGAUGGGUGGUCUUCAUUGCCUUAGCAUUCUCGACCUGCGUGUGGAGGAGACGUCAACUGAGGAGGUUUAUCUUCUUGGGGGGCUUCCCUCCCUUGUCAAUUUGAUUUUCAAACCAUCACACAUCCCUAAAGAAAGGGCUAUGUUGGACACGGGACUAUUCCCGGUUCUGGAGUACCUCGAAUUUUGGUCUCAGGAAGAUGUUAUGGGGUACCUGGGGUUCGAGGCAGGGGCCAUGCCCAACCUACAAUUCCUCACCGUUCACUUUAUAAAGGAGUGGGGCGGCAGUAUACCAGUCGGCAUGGAACAUCUAUCACGCCUCCAAGAGAUCCUACUGAAGGAGGCUUAUUCCGAUGAUGCCAUUGUGUCUAUGUUCAGGAAUGCCUUAUCAGCACACCCAAACCGCCCUUCCGUUGAACAUUGGUCCGGUAAACGUGAGGAGGUAGUUCGAAUUUGA
rnacentral:rRNA from 1 species